rnacentral:snRNA from 1 species
GUGCUUGCUUCAGCAUUACAUGUACUAAAAUUAGAAUGAUACAGAGAAGAUUAGCAUGACUCCUGCACAAGGAUGACAUGGAAAUUUGUGAAGCAUUCCAUAUUUCU